GUGUGAAUAUGAAACUCAAAUGCUAUUACGACGAGAUACCAGCUGGAGUUGUUAGCCACCCCUCAUUCAGGACCCCCACGCACCUUGCUCUGGAUGUGCCUCUCCAUCUCACAUUAUGGCCUACAUAACUCAGCUAAGAAUGGGUGUCAAAAUAAGAGCCCAGCUGCUUCGAGAGAGUGACAGAAGACAGCCAGCUGAGCCCAGGGAGUCUUCACCUGGCCACUACAGUGCUCGUACGCACCUGCAAACUCCCAUCGCUACACGGUGCCUUCGCAAUCUGCUAAUUCUCACAGGUACAGCCUCACACUUCAUUCUGUGAACUCAAUUAACACCAAACUGCUUUCUUCUCCUUACACUUUAUUUUUAACCUAUAGAACUAAUUGAUUUCAUGUUCUAACCUGGCACAGUGAACACCCUGUUUUUAUCCGGGAAACCCAUGAAUUCUCAGGCCAACUCAGUAACAGGAAUGACAAAGUUUCCUUUGUGCACAAGAUAUUUCUUGUUAAGACCUAUAUACAGAGGAGGAGGCAAUCAUGGAUACUUUAAACCCAGUAGGAAAGAAUGUGGUGAUUCCAGUAAAAGAAACAGGAAAAAGCUGACCCUUCAUUGUAAGUCUAGACUCAACGUAGAAAAUUAUCUCUUGUUGACCUUACUUUAUCAAAAAGGCAGUUAAACAAGCAAUAACUACUCAUCCAUUUCAAAACACUCAGAUAACAGGAUGGGGAUGCUAUUGAGAGCAAAUCGUUGAAAUUCCACAACCAUGAAGACGAUAUGACAAACCCCGGCCACUAUCUUGAUUCAGACAGAUUUAAAAUAGCUACACUACCACAUUAAGGCAGACUGAAUGCAUUUCAUGCCAUUUCUACAAAAUCUGUCCAUUAUGCCUCCAGCCAAAAAACAUAGGAUAAUGAUCAUAACAUUUGGAUAUGGCUUUCAAAAGAUAUUUUUAACAACCUUACAAAACUGAAUGAACUGUAGUCUUUCAAGUAUGUAGUACUAAGUAAGGAGGAUG